GAGACUGAGUGAGUGAGCGUGCUGCCUGCAGACCAAAAGAACCUUUCUGAUCUCAUCAGAUCACAGUUUGAUUUAAAGUCAGCUUCUUCAUCACUCUGAAGAGGAGAUCUCAACUCUUCAGGAGGACCAGGAGACCUGGAGA